AUUGAACGCUGGCGGCAUGCUUUACACAUGCAAGUCGAACGGCAGCGCGGGGCAACCUGGCGGCGAGUGGCGAACGGGUGAGUAAUAUAUCGGAACGUACCCAGAAGUGGGGGAUAACGUAGCGAAAGUUACGCUAAUACCGCAUACGAUCUACGGAUGAAAGUGGGGGACCUUCGGGCCUCAUGCUUGUGGAGCGGCCGAUAUCUGAUUAGCUAGUUGGUAGGGUAAAGGCCUACCAAGGCGACGAUCAGUAGCUGGUCUGAGAGGACGACCAGCCACACUGGGACUGAGACACGGCCCAGACUCCUACGGGAGGCAGCAGUGGGGAAUUUUGGACAAUGGGCGCAAGCCUGGUCCAGCAAUGCCGCGUGAGUGAAGAAGGCCUUCGGGUUGUAAAGCUCUUUUGUCAGGGAAGAAACGGUUGGGGCUAAUAUCUCCGGCUAAUGACGGUACCUGAAGAAUAAGCACCGGCUAACUACGUGCCAGCCGCCGCUGUAA
rnacentral:rRNA from 1 species